rnacentral:lncRNA from 1 species
UAAUCCCUCUUCAAAAUUUCACCAAGAUCUUCAACCAAAUUCAAACAUCUCAACCUCUAAUUCCGGAUUCAAGACUCAAAUCUCAAGCUUCAAUUCUCCAUUCCAAUCUUCAUCAAGAAUUCUCCAAAGUUGAGGUAUGUGGGUUGAUUGUGGAAACCUUCCUUUCCACAAGUCCAACCAUUUAUCCUCUAUUUUACUUCAAGUUUAUGGGUCCUUAUGAUCAUUUAUGAACUCUUGAAUUAUGGAAUUAAUACUACACAUCCUAUAAUGGUCUAUUUUUGCAUAUUAUCAUGAAAUGGAAAUUAUUAUGUGAUGUUUAUGGUUUGCAUGCUUCCAUGAUCAAAUUAUGAAGGUUGAUAUAUAUAUAUGUAUGUUGUUGGUGGGCUGAUAUAUAUGUAUUUCGGAAUUGGUUGGACUUAGUACUCUUGAAACACAUGAUUUUAUUUACAUGAACAAGUAGCCCACCAUAUGUUUGAUAAAAUGCCAUUUAUAGAAUUCUUAUGAAAUGGAAGGUCCAAUGUACGUCCUAUGAAUCGAAUGGUUAUAUAAUUAUUGAAAUGAUGAUGAAAAAGAUACAUGUAUAUGAUUUUCUCUAUAUACGUGUUGUGAGUCGACCAAGCCUAGUACGGGGGGUAGUAGGCCCGUAUAACCGUAUCGAGGGGUUGGUACCUUGGUUGCCUAGUACGGGGGGUAGUAGGCCCGUAUAACCGUAUCGAGGGGUUGGUACCUUGGUUGCCUAGUACGGGGGGUAGUAGGCCCGUAUAACCGUAUCGAGGGGUUGGUACCUUGGUUGCCUAGUACGGGGGGUAGUAGGCCCGUAUAACCGUAUCGAGGGGUUGGUACCUUGGUUGCCUAGUACGGGGGGUAGUAGGCCCGUAUAACCGUAUCGAGGGGUUGGUACCUUGGUUGCCUAGUACGGGGGGUAGUAGGCCCGUAUAACCGUAUCGAGGGGUUGGUACCUUGGUUGCCUAGUACGGGGGGUAGUAGGCCCGUAUAACCGUAUCGAGGGGUUGGUACCUUGGUUGCCUAGUACGGGGGGUAGUAGGCCCGUAUAACCGUAUCGAGGGGUUGGUACCUUGGUUGCCUAGUACGGGGGGUAGUAGGCCCGUAUAACCGUAUCGAGGGGUUGGUACCUUGGUUGCCUAGUACGGGGGGUAGUAGGCCCGUAUAACCGUAUCGAGGGGUUGGUACCUUGGUUGCCUACUACGGGGGGUAGUAGGCCCGUAUAACCAUAUCGAGGGGUUUGUACCUUGGUCCCUAGCUCGGGGGGUGGUAGGCCCGGGUAACCACAUUGAGGGGUUUGUACCUCUUUCGCCUCUCCAAGGGGGUGGUAGGCCUUGGAAAUACUAUAUUGAUGGUCACUCACCACACUUGUGCUACGUCCCACUAAAUAUGAUUUUUAUGUAAGCGUCAUUAUAUAUAUAUCGUUUCAUUAAUGUGCUAUCUAACGGGUAUUAUUAUGCAUUUUCCUAUGAUGUCCAUCUAUUGUAGCAUUGCAUUGCAUCCCAUAUACUUAGUACAUUCAAACGUACUAACGCAUACUCUAUGCCUACAUGAUGUCACCAUGUAGGGACCGGAGCACCGCUUGACCAUCCUCCUCCGCGUGGCUAAUACGAUUUCCUAUCAAGGUUAUUGGUGAGUCCUCCAUUCCGGGGACGUUGCUCAUGAUCUUUUGC